AUGAAUUUGCAUAUCAAAACUUGGGAGACUAAAAAUAUAAUCUUAAUUAAGCGUAGCAUCCCCAAGCUUGGGAAAAACAUUAAUUGCAACAAAUAUAUUCUCAAAUAUGUCAUCCUCAUCAAACAUAGCUUCCCCAAGCUUGGGCCUUUACGUAUCAUAAACAUAAUUACUCUCAUCAUUAAUAGUAUAGAUAGCGCCGAUAGUAUAGCAAUUAUUAUAUUAUUCCAAGCAAGUGCCAAAAAGAUUUUCAAGAUCAUAAGAAGUAUCAUUAUCUUCCACAAUUAUAUUUUCAUGAGGCACAAUAGUAAUAGGAGCAACUUUAUUUGGGAGAGAUACCUUUUUACCUCUCUUCCUUUUUCUUUUCUUCUUCUUCACCACAUCAUGUGUGGGUUCAAUCCUCUUUUUGAAGCUCCUUAUUAA
rnacentral:rRNA from 1 species